UCCAUGAUAAUGUCUGGAUUUGGUGAUUG
rnacentral:piRNA from 1 species